GACGAACGCUGGCGGCGUGCUUAACACAUGCAAGUCGAACGGAAAGGCCCUGCUUUUGUGGGGUGCUCGAGUGGCGAACGGGUGAGUAACACGUGAGUAACCUGCCCUUGACUUUGGGAUAACUUCAGGAAACUGGGGCUAAUACCGGAUAGGAGCUCCUGCUGCAUGGUGGGGGUUGGAAAGUUUCGGCGGUUGGGGAUGGACUCGCGGCUUAUCAGCUUGUUGGUGGGGUAGUGGCUUACCAAGGCUUUGACGGGUAGCCGGCCUGAGAGGGUGACCGGCCACAUUGGGACUGAGAUACGGCCCAGACGCCUACGGGAGGAAGAAGGGGGGAAGAUUGAACAAGGGGCGGAAGCCUGAUGCAGAAACGCCGCGGGCGGGAUGACGGCCUUGGGGUUGUAAAACGCUUUCGCCUGUGACGAAGCGUGAGUGACGGUAAUGGGUAAAGAAGCACCGGCUAACUACGUGC
rnacentral:rRNA from 1 species